AUUGAACGCUGGCGGCAGGCCUAACACAUGCAAGUCGAGCGGAUGACGGGAGCUUGCUCCUUGAUUCAGCAGCGGACGGGUGAGUAAUGCCUAGGAAUCUGCCUGGUAGUGGGGGACAACGAUUCGAAAGGAACGCUAAUAACGCUUCCGUCCUCCGGGAGAAAGCAGGGGACCUUCGGGCCCUGCGCUCCCAGAUGAGCCGGGGUAGGAUGAGGUAGUUGGUGGGGUAAUGGCUCACCAAGGCGACGAUCCGUAACUGGUCUAAGAGGAUGAUCAGGCACACUGGAACUGAGACACGGUCCAGACUCCUACGGGAGGCAGCAGUGGGGAAUAUUGGACAAUGGGCGAAAGCCUGAUCCAGCCAUGCCGCGUGUGUGAAGAAGGUCUUCGGAUUGUAGAGCACUUUAAGUUGGGAGGAAGGGCAGUAUGUUAUUACCUUGCUGUUUUGACGUUACCGACAGAAUAAGCACCGGCUAACUCUGUGCCAGCCGCCGCAGUAAGAC
rnacentral:rRNA from 1 species